UCUGGUAAUGAUGCCUCUAAAGGUCACACUCCUUCCCAUACCGAACAGGAAAGUUAAGCUUUAGAGGGCCGAUGGUACUGCAUGGGUGAC
rnacentral:rRNA from 1 species